UGGCAUCCUGCCAGGCAGGAUCAGAAGCAGCCUGGAUGUAAGAAGUAGGCUCAACAUGUGCAGUGUGAACAGAGAUGUUACAGCAAGUGGAAAAAGAACUAGUGCCAUAGAUAGAAGGAGAAAGGUCACAGAUGUAUUGUUGAAGAUGUGCAGGAGGGACAUGAGGCCUGCUUGAUCUUCUAGUAGCAGGUAACACGGGUUCUGGGGUUGGAAGAGAAUGGGAAGUGGUGAUAGUGGUAUGUAAUGGAACAUCAUCAGGAGGACAAGGAUUAGAGACAGGAGCAGAAAGGGAAGGAGAAGUAUCAGAUGUUGAGGAAGGACUGACUAAGGAUUCAUCAACAGCAGGAGAGCAGACAGGGAAUGAAGGAAUAAUGGAAGAUGGAACAGAAGACUUAAUCCAUGAAGAGGCAAAAGGAAAAACAUCCUCAUGGAAAGUAACAUCCCUGGAUAUGAGUAUGAGUUUAGUUUUCAAGUUAUAUAGCUUGUAUCCCUUCUUACCCAGUGGAUAUCCCAGGAACACACAAGGGUCAGCUCUUGGGUGAAAUUUGUCUCUAUGCUGUUUAGGUACAGAAGCAAAACAAAGACAGCCAAAAGUCUUAAGAUGAUGAUAAGAAGGACUUUGUCCAAACAGUAACUCAUAAGGAGAUACAUUGUUAAGAAGUUUGGAAGGAAAUCUAUUGAUGAGAUAGGUGGCAGUAAGAACACAAUCUCCCCAGAAUUUAAGAGGAAGUUGGGACUGAAAAAGUAAUGCUCUGGAUGUUUCCAGAAGGUGCCUAUGUUUUCUCUCAACCACACCAUUUUGUUGUGGUGUAUGAGAGCAAGAUGUUUGGUGAAGGAUACCAUUCUCAGCAAAGAAAUUGAUUCCAGCAUUACUAGUCCCAAGUUCAAGAGCAUUAUCACUCCUGAUGGUUUGGACAACAGUCUGAAACUGAGUUUUGAUCAUGGCAAUGAAUGCUUUGAUAAUGGGAAAGGCAUUGCUUUUGGGGACUGAAAAAGUAAUGCUCUGGCUGUUUCCAGAAGAUGCCUAUGUUUUCUCUCAACUACACCAUUUUUUUGUGGUGUAUGAGAGCAAGAUGUUUGGUGAAGGACACCAUUCUCAGCAAAGAAAUUGAUUCCAGCAUUACUAGUUCCAAGUUCAAGAGCAUUAUCACUNNN
rnacentral:lncRNA from 1 species